rnacentral:rRNA from 1 species
UACGUAGGGGGCAAGCGUUGUCCGGAAUCAUUGGGCGUAAAGCGCGUGUAGGCGGCUCGAUAAGUCUGCUGUGAAAGUCCAAGGCUCAACCUUGGGAUGCCGGUGGAUACUGUCGAGCUCGAGUCCGGAAGAGGAGUGUGGAAUUCCGUGGUGUAGCGGUGAAAUGCGCAGAAUAUCAGGAGGAACACCGAUGGCGAAGGCAGCUCGCUGGGACGGUACUGACGCUGAGGCGCGAAAGCGUGGGGAGCAAACAGG